GACGAACGCUGGCGGUGCGCCUAACACAUGCAAGUCGAACGGUGAAGCGGGCUUCGGCCCGUGGAUCAGUGGCGAACGGGUGCGUAACACGUGGGCAACCUGCCACUCACUCUGGGAUAACUCCGGGAAACCGGGGCUAAUACCGGAUACUCUGACCGAACCGCAUGGCUCGGCCGGGCAAGGUCCGCCGGUGAGGGAUGGGCCCGCGGCCUAUCAGCUUGUUGGUGGGGUAACGGCCUACCAAGGCGACGACGGGUAGCUGGUCUGAGAGGACGACCAGCCACACGGGGACUGAGAUACGGCCCGGACUCCUGCGGGAGGCGGCAGUGGGGAAUCUUGCGGAAUGGGCGAAAGCAUGACGCAGCGACACCGCGUGAGGGACGAGGGCCCUCGGGUUGUAAACCGCUUGCAGCAGGGACGAAAUUGACUGUACCUGCAGAAGAAGCUCCGGCUGACUACGUGCCAGCCGCCGCCGUAACAC
rnacentral:rRNA from 1 species